ACUGGAAUUCCCGGUGUAACGGUGGAAUGUGUAGAUAUCGGGAAGAACACCAAUGGCGAAGGCAGGUCUCUGGGCCGUUACUGACGCUGAGGAGCGAAAGCGUGGGGAGCGAACAGGAUUAGAUACCCUGGUAGUCCACGCCGUAAACGGUGGAUGCUGGAUGUGGGGCCCGUUCCACGGGUUCCGUGUCGGAGCUAACGCGUUAAGCAUCCCGCCUGGGGAGUACGGCCGCAAGGCUAAAACUCAAAGAAAUUGACGGGGGCCCGCACAAGCGGCGGAGCAUGCGGAUUAAUUCGAUGCAACGCGAAGAACCUUACCUGGGCUUGACAUGUUCCCGACGGUCGUAGAGAUACGGCUUCCCUUCGGGGCGGGUUCACAGGUGGUGCAUGGUCGUCGUCAGCUCGUGUCGUGAGAUGUUGGGUUAAGUCCCGCAACGAGCGCAACCCUCGCCCCGUGUUGCCAGCGGAUUAUGCCGGGAACUCACGGGGGACCGCCGGGGUUAACUCGGAGGAAGGUGGGGAUGACGUCAGAUCAUCAUGCCCCUUACGUCCAGGGCUUCACGCAUGCUACAAUGGCCGGUACAACGGGAUGCGACACGGCGACGUGGAGCGGAUCCCUGAAAACCGGUCUCAGUUCGGAUUGGAGUCUGCAACCCGACUCCAUGAAGGCGGAGUCGCUAGUAAUCGCGGAUCAGCAACGCCGCGGUGAAUGCGUUCCCGGGCCUUGUACACACCGCCCGUCAAGUCAUGAAAGUGGGUAGCACCCGAAGCCGGUGGCCUAACCCUUUGUGGAUGGAGCCGUCUAAGGUGAGACUCGUGAUUGGGACUAAGUCGUAACAAGGUAGCCGUACCGGAAGGUGCGGCUG
rnacentral:rRNA from 1 species